GCGGGCGUGAUGGAAUGGCAGACAUGCCGGCUUUAGGUGCCGGUGCUCGAAAGAGCGUGGGGGUUCAAGUCCCCCCGCCCGCACCA
rnacentral:tRNA from 1 species